AUGGCCCCUCUUCUGGCAUCAGUCCCUCCAGUUUCACCCGCUCUGCAUAGUGUACUCCCCACCGAGGCGUCUUUCACUUUACCUCCUUUUCCAGCUCUCCCCUCUCCCUUAGCCACACCACAUUCGGCAGGUCCUCUACCACCAGCCGCUGCCCCCCUACAAGCCCCUCUGUCUCAAGCAGCAUCUGUGAGGAACCUGCCCUCUCCCCUAGCCACACCCCCUCCUCAGGCUCCUUCCGCUCUGGCCACGCCCCCUCCGCAGGCCAGUCCUCUGUCUCCACCUUUUCAGGCCACGCCUUGUACACUGGACACACCUCCCACACCCACUCCACAGGCCUCACCGUCUCAGACCACACUCUCUUUGCAGGGUUCUCCCCGUUCAGAGUCUCCCUCUCCCCUGGUCAGGCCUCUACUACAGACUCCACCUCCUCUGGCUACUUCCCCUCGACAGGCCACUCCUAUACAGGCCCCAUCUCUAGCCUCACCACCUUUGCGGGCGACCCCUCCUCCGCUGGCCGUGCCUCAUCCGCUCUCUCCACCUUCUCUGACCACGCCUUCUUUACAGGCCACUCCCCCUCAGAGCCUGCCUCCUCUGCUGGCUUCACCUUCUUUGGUCUCACCUCCUUUGCAGGCCCUAUCCUCUCCUCCCCUUGCUUCAUCUCCUCUGCAUGGUCCUCCCUCUCUUCGGGCUCUGCCCCCACAGAGGGGUCCACCUUCUCUGGCCUCGCCUCCUCUUCAGGCUCCCCCUUCUCCCCCUGCUUCACCCUCUCUCCAAGACUCUUCCUCUCCCCUGGCCACACCCCCUCCGCGGGCUCUACCUUCCCUGAGCACGCCCCCUUUACAGGCCACUCCUCCUCCUCAAAGCCUGCCUCCUCUGCAGGCUCCACCUUCUCUGGCCUUGCCCCCUCUUCAGGCCCCUUCUCCCCGAGCUUCACCCCCUCUGCAAGACUCUCCCUCUCCCCUGGCCACACCCCCUCCGCGGGAUCCGCCUUCUUUGAGCACGCCCCCCUUACAGGCCACUCCUCCUCAGAGCCUGCCUCCUCUCCAGGCUCCACCUUCUCUGUCCUCGCUCCCUCUGCAGGCUGGUCCCUCUCCCUCUGCUUCACCCCCUCUGCAAGACCCUCCCUCUCCUCUGAUCACGCCCCCACCACGUGCUCCACCUUCCCUGGCCUUGCCGACUUUGCAGACCCCUCCC
rnacentral:lncRNA from 1 species